rnacentral:rRNA from 2 species
UGGAUCCAGACUUUGAUCCAGGCUCAGGAUGAACGCUAGCUACAGGCUUAACACAUGCAAGUCGAGGGGAAACGACAUCGAAAGCUUGCUUUUGAUGGGCGUCGACCGGCGCACGGGUGAGUAACGCGUAUCCAACCUGCCCACCACUUGGGGAUAACCUUGCGAAAGUAAGACUAAUACCCAAUGACGUCUCUAGAAGACAUCUGAAGGAGAUUAAAGAUUUAUCGGUGAUGGAUGGGGAUGCGUCUGAUUAGCUUGUUGGCGGGGUAACGGCCCACCAAGGCGACGAUCAGUAGGGGUUCUGAGAGGAAGGUCCCCCACAUUGGAACUGAGACACGGUCCAAACUCCUACGGGAGGCAGCAGUGAGGAAUAUUGGUCAAUGGACGAGAGUCUGAACCAGCCAAGUAGCGUGCAGGAUGACGGCCCUAUGGGUUGUAAACUGCUUUUAUAAGGGAAUAAAGUGAGUCUCGUGAGACUUUUUGCAUGUACCUUAUGAAUAAGGACCGGCUAAUUCCGUGCCAGCAGCCGCGGUAAUACGGAAGGUCCGGGCGUUAUCCGGAUUUAUUGGGUUUAAAGGGAGCGUAGGCCGGAGAUUAAGCGUGUUGUGAAAUGUAGACGCUCAACGUCUGCACUGCAGCGCGAACUGGUUUCCUUGAGUACGCACAAAGUGGGCGGAAUUCGUGGUGUAGCGGUGAAAUGCUUAGAUAUCACGAAGAACUCCGAUUGCGAAGGCAGCUCACUGGAGCGCAACUGACGCUGAAGCUCGAAAGUGCGGGUAUCGAACAGGAUUAGAUACCCUGGUAGUCCGCACGGUAAACGAUGGAUGCCCGCUGUUGGUCUGAAUAGGUCAGCGGCCAAGCGAAAGCAUUAAGCAUCCCACCUGGGGAGUACGCCGGCAACGGUGCAACUCAAAUGAAUUGACGGA